rnacentral:rRNA from 1 species
GGAUAUUGCGCAAUGGGGGAAACCCUGACGCAGCAACGCCGCGUGAAGGAUGAAGGUUUUCGGAUUGUAAACUUCUUUUAUCAGGGACGAAAUUUGACGGUACCUGAAGAAUAAGCUCCGGCUAACUACGUGCCAGCAGCCGCGGUAAUACGUAGGGAGCAAGCGUUGUCCGGAUUUACUGGGUGUAAAGGGUGAGUAGGCGGCUUUGCAAGUCAGAUGUGAAAUCUAUGGGCUCAACCCAUAAACCGCAUUUGAAACUGUAGAGCUUGAGUGGAGUAGAGGCAGGCGGAAUUCCCUGUGUAGCGGUGAAAUGCGUAGAGAUAGGGAGGAACACCAGUGGCGAAGGCGGCCUGCUGGGCUUUAACUGACGCUGAGGCACGAAAGCGUGGGGAGCAAACA